GUACCACAACUGCAGAUGACAACAGGGUUGUUUCUAUUCCAAGCUUCAACGAGAUGAAGACCAAACCACGGUAGAUCACCAAGUGGCAAAAGCAGAAUACCAGCCUCAGCAAAUAUCUAAACCGGAAUACUAUUACAGCAGACCAGAUCAUAAUCCAAAUCUGGACUUCUACAGAAAUGAAAGAAAGUCUGAACCAGAUGGUGAUUAUAUAGAAAACAUUCUAGAAAAAUGGUUUGGUGAUUACCAGAAGCUGGAACGUCAUCAUGGCUAUAUCCAGUGGUUGUUUCCCAACAGAGUUGCAGGUUUGAACAGACAGGCUUUCUGUCUCAAUGAUUAUGAGAUUCAGGUAAAUAUUCAGGUAGUGCUAUUGUUGUUGUGACUGGUGUGUGUAUGUCUAUGUGUAUGUGCAUAUGUAUAUAUGUAUAUAAAUAUAUCUAUGUGAGUGUGUGUUUGUGUGCUGGUUGGCGUUAGGAAGAGCAUCCAGCUGUAGAAACUCUGCCAGAUCAGAUUGGAGCCUGGUGCAGCCAUCCUGUUCACCAGUCCUCAGUCAAAUCGUCCAACCCAUGCUAGCAUGGAAAGCGGAUGUUAAACGAUGAUGAUGAUGAUGAUGAUAUAUGUAAAUAGAGUUAGCAGUUGUAGUAACCGACUAAGGAAUAAAAUAUCCAUAUGUACUAUCAGUAUCCGUUACAUGUGUUAUCCUCGGGCAAUGGUGUGCAGGGACACCAUAUAUGUCAAGCACAGGUGACAAUAAUAUAGACAAAAGUUUAUCAAGAGCCAAUGCAAAUAAUUAGAAAACGGAGAAAAAUAUAGAUUAACC